rnacentral:rRNA from 1 species
UGCAGUCGAGCGGUAACAGGAGAAGCUUGCUUCUCGCUGACGAGCGGCGGACGGGUGAGUAAUACUUAGGAAUCUACCUAGUAGUGGGGGAUAGCACGGGGAAACUCGUAUUAAUACCGCAUACGACCUACGGGAGAAAGGGGGCAGUUUCUGCUCUCGCUAUUAGAUGAGCCUAAGUCGGAUUAGCUAGAUGGUGGGGUAAAGGCCUACCAUGGCGACGAUCUGUAGCUGGUCUGAGAGGAUGAUCAGCCACACCGGGACUGAGACACGGCCCGGACUCCUACGGGAGGCAGCAGUGGGGAAUAUUGGACAAUGGGGGAAACCCUGAUCCAGCCAUGCCGCGUGUGUGAAGAAGGCCUUUUGGUUGUAAAGCACUUUAAGCAGUGAAGAAGACUCCUGGUUAAUACCCAUGGCGAUGACAUUAGCUGCAGAAUAAGCACCGGCUAACUCUGUGCCAGCAGCCGCGGUAAUACAGAGGGUGCAAGCGUUAAUCGGAAUUACUGGGCGUAAAGGGAGCGUAGGUGGCUCUAUAAGUCAGAUGUGAAAUCCCCGGGCUUAACCUGGGAACUGCAUCUGAAACUGUAGAGCUAGAGUAUGUGAGAGGAAGGUAGAAUUCCAGGUGUAGCGGUGAAAUGCGUAGAGAUCUGGAGGAAUACCGAUGGCGAAGGCAGCCUUCUGGCAUAAUACUGACACUGAGGCUCGAAAGCGUGGGUAGCAAACAGGAUUAGAUACCCUGGUAGUCCACGCCGUAAACGAUGUCUACUAGUCGUUGGGUCCCUUGAGGACUUAGUGACGCAGCUAACGCAAUAAGUAGACCGCCUGGGGAGUACGGCCGCAAGGUUAAAACUCAAAUGAAUUGACGGGGGCCCGCACAAGCGGUGGAGCAUGUGGUUUAAUUCGAUGCAACGCGAAGAACCUUACCUGGUCUUGACAUAUCUAGAAUCCUGCAGAGAUGCGGGAGUGCCUUCGGGAAUUAGAAUACAGGUGCUGCAUGGCUGUCGUCAGCUCGUGUCGUGAGAUGUUGGGUUAAGUCCCGCAACGAGCGCAACCCUUGUCCUUAGUUACCAGCGGGUUAAGCCGGGAACUCUAAGGAUACUGCCAGUGACAAACUGGAGGAAGGCGGGGACGACGUCAAGUCAUCAUGGCCCUUACGACCAGGGCUACACACGUGCUACAAUGGUAGGUACAGAGGGCAGCUACACAGCGAUGUGAUGCGAAUCUCAAAAAGCCUAUCGUAGUCCAGAUUGGAGUCUGCAACUCGACUCCAUGAAGUAGGAAUCGCUAGUAAUCGCGGAUCAGAAUGCCGCGGUGAAUACGUUCCCGGGCCUUGUACACACCGCCCGUCACACCAUGGGAGUUGAUUGCACCA